AGAGUUUGAUCCUGGCUCAGAACGAACGCUUGCGGCGCGCCUAAUACAUGCAAGUCGAACGAGAAAGGUCCUUCGGGAACGAGUAAAGUGGCGGACGGGUGAGGAACGCGUGGAUAACCUACCCUUCAGCGGGGGAUAACUAUUGGAAACGAUAGCUAAUACCGCAUAAGACUACGACUCCUGCGGGUAACGUAGUAAAAGGCUUCGGCCACUGAAGGAUGGGUCCGCGUCCGAUUAGCUUGUUGGUGGGGUAAAAGCCUACCAAGGCUCCGAUCGGUAGCUGGUCUCAGAGGAUGAUCAGCCACACUGGAACUGAGACACGGUCCAGACUCCUACGGGAGGCAGCAGUAGGGAAUAUUGCACAAUGGAGGAAACUCUGAUGCAGCGACGCCGCGUGAGCGAUGAAGGCCUUCGGGUUGUAAAGCUCUGUGAUAUGGGAAGAUAAUGACGGUACCAUAUCAGAAAGGACCGGCUAACUUCGUGCCAGCAGCCGCGGUAAUA
rnacentral:rRNA from 1 species